AUGUCAUUGAGUAAAUUUCCAAGCCAUCAAGAAGAAAUACGGUUGUCUCUCCAGCGUUCCAACAGGACCAUUCCAACAUCACUUGAACGCUCCUGUGUCCAAAGUCAUGAAAUCCUCCAGGACCAUGGAAGAGUUUCAAACUAUUGCUGCGGAAGACGAAGCGUUGUACAAGGGCUGCAUGACAUGUAUUCUUGGAGAUACAGCUUGCAACUCCGCAUGCGUAAAAGGGAAUCACAGCUGCUUAUCUGAAACGUCUUCAUCAUCCAUUUGGAAAUGAAGGAUUCCGCCUGCUCUACUUCCAUCACCACAGGAAGCCACACCCAGCUGACUUCUCAGUCCAGACUUGUUCUCAAGGUCACCUAUGUAAUUUUUUUUUUCCCCCUGAAGCCUCAGUGUUCUUCGUCUUCUCGGAGAUAAUAGCCCUAAGCCCUUCAGUCAUCAUUUCCUUGUCCUCAAUUUUCUUCCUGGCUUCCUGCAAUUUUAAUCCCAAGCCCCUGCAAUUCCUUGCCUUGGAGGUUUAAGUGGCCCCAUUUACAACCGAUUUUCAGCUAAUAUUUGAUGCAUUCUUUUCAAAUAAACCAAACUGUCCUCCUCUGCA
rnacentral:lncRNA from 1 species